UUUCCGUAGGUGAACCUGCGGAAGGAUCAUUAACGAAUUAAAUGUGUGUGGCAUCCAAGGGCUGUCCCUCACCGAAAAGUCCUUCACGCGCGAGUGCGUCCUCUUGCCUAAUAAUCCAUCUCACCCCUUGUGGAGCACCUCGGGCGCACCUCUCGGGAUCAUCUCGGAGCUGGGCUCUCGUUGACUCAUAUACUCUCCUUUAAUCAGUGUUUAAAUACAACAUAUAUUUUGUCCAGACAACUUUCAACAACGGAUCUCUUGGCUCUCGCACCCAUCAGG
rnacentral:misc_RNA from 1 species